CCAGAAUUUGGGGAAGUUCCUUAUUUCAUGGGGGGUCCUCAGUUUAGGGGGUGGUUCUCUAUUUAGGGGGGUCCCUCAAUUUAGGGGGAUCCUCAAUUUGCGAGGUUCCUCAAUUUGGGGGAUCCCUCAAUUUGGGGGGAUCCUCAGUUUAGGGAGUUCCUCAAUUUGGGGGGUCCCUCAAUUUAGGGGGAUCCUCAGUUUAGGGAGUUCCUCAAUUUGGGGGGAUCCCUCAAUUUGGGGUGUUCCUCAAUUUAGGCAGAUCCCCCAAUUUGGGGGAGAUCUCUCAAUUUGGGGGGUUCCUCAGUUUAGGGGGAUCCCUCAGUUUAGAGGAGUUCCUCAAUUUGGGGGGUCCCUCAAUUUGGGGGAUUCUUCAAUUUGGGAGGUCCUUCAAUUUAGGGGGAUCCUCAAUUUAGAGGGAUCUUCAAUUUGGGGGGUUCCUCAAUUUGGGAGGAUCCCUCAAUUUGGGGGGGUUCCUCAGUUUAGGGGGAUCUUCAAUUUGGGGGGAUUCCUCAAUUUAGGGGGAUCUUCAAUUUGGGGGGAUUCCUCAAUUUAGGGGGAUCUUCAAUUUGGGGGGAUUCCUCAAUUUAGGGGGAUCCCUCAAUUCAGAGGAGUUCCUCAAUUUGGGAGGAUCCCUCAGUUUAGGGGGUUCCUCAAUCUGAGGGGAUCCCUCAAUUUGGGGGGUCCCUCAAUUUGGGGGGGUUCCUCAAUUUAGGGAGAUCCCUCAAUUUAGGGGGAUCUCUCAGUUUAGGGAGUUCCUCAGUUUGGGGGGUUCCUCAAUUUGGGGGGUCCCUCAGUUUAGGAGGGGCCCUCACUUUAAUGACAAUCAGUGAUAAUUCCAGCGUGUUUCUACUUCCCAAAUGGAGAUUUAGGGAUUUUCCCCCUUUUCCCCCCCAAAACCCACUUUUCCUCUCACCCAGGACCACGCCCGGUGUGGAAAAUCCCACCCGGAUCCCGCCCACCCACAUCCAAACCCCUCAGUUUUCCAGAAGAUUGGAGCUUUUCCCUGCAUUUCAGAGGAGUUUUUUUAAAUCCUCCACCGCCCCCUUCCCCGCAGGAGCCAGGAAUUCCCCCAGGCUGGGGCUGGAACACCCCCUGGAUCAGCACCCCGGGGAGGGAGCACGUCCGCAGCGGGCACGGAAAAGGCGGAAAAGCUGCUUAUGGCUCUCGGGGACGUGGAUUAGGAACCUUAAGACCUCUUAAUUUGAUCCUAGGGCUGCAUUCCCUGCCUCUGCCAGGACUCUGGGAAUGGUGGAGAGCCGGGUGACGCUCCCAAAUCCCUCCUUGGAAAUGAGCUGGACACUGGGAAGAGACGGAUGAGGAGAUGGAUCCGUUGGAGACGCCUCGUUUCCGGUGGCCAAGCAGCAGGGAAAGGCUUCCUACCUCUUCCAAUAUCCAUGGGGAAGAUCCAUGGAUGAAGGAACAGCCAUUGCUCUGUGCCAGCCACCUCCAGGAAUUCUCGUUGGAAAAGUCAGCUCGGGAUGGGAGUGGAGGACUCAAGGGAUGUCUGUGUGCAGCUGGAAUGUUGGUGAGGAUGAGCAGGAAGGUCUGGAUGAGGAAGGAGAAGACGUGGUGGUGUCCUCGAGCUCUUGGAUCAUGUCCACCAGGGACAUCAGGACUGGGAGACAACCAGAGGGUGAAUCCUUGGAACUCACAGGGGAGGGGAACAGGAUGGGUAAGGAAAUCACCACCAGCUCCCAAGAGGUAGGAAAAGGCACAUCCCAAGGGGAUACGUGGCCACCAACCUGAGGAAAGCCUGGGAGAAGUGGUGGAGUCCCCAUCCCUGGAGGGAUUUAAGGAGAAUGUUGGGAGUCCCCAUCCCUGGAGGGAUUUGAGGAGAAUGUUGGAGUCCCCAUCCCUGGAGGGAUUUGAGGAGAAUGUUGGAGUCUCCAUCCCUGGAGGGAUUUAAGGGAGAAGGCUGGAGUCCCAUCCCUGGAGGGAUUUAAGGGAGAAGGCUGGAGUCCCAUCCCUGGAGGGAUUUAAGGAGAAGUGGUGGAGUCUCCAACCCUAGAGGGAUUUAAGGGAGAAUGUUGGAGUCCCCAUUUUUGGGGGGAUUUAAGGGAGAAGGUUGGAGUUCCCAUUUUUGGGGGGAUUUAAGGGAGAAGGUUGGAGUUCCCAUCCCUGGAGGGAUUUAAGGAGAAUGUUGGGAGUCCCCAUCCCUGGAGGGAUUUAAAGGAAAAGUGGUGGAGUCCCAUCCCUGAAGGGAUUUAAGGAGAAGGUUGGAGUCCCCAUUUUUGGGGGGAUUUAAGGGAGAAUGUUGGAGUCUCCAUCCCUGGAGGGAUUUAAGGGAGAAGUGGUGGAGUCUCAUCCCUGGAGGGAUUUAAGGAGAAUGUUGGAGUCUCCAUCCCUGGAGGGAUUUAAGGGAGAUUGUUGGAGUCCCCAUUUUUGGGGGGAUUUAAGGGAGAAGUGGUGGAAUUCCCAUCCCUGGAGGGAUUUAAGGAGAAUGUUGGGAGUUUCCAUUUUUGGGGGGAUUUAAGGGAGAAUGUUGGAGUCCCCAUCCCUGGAGGGAUUUAAGGAGAAUGUUGGGAGUCUCCAUCCCUGGAGGGAUUUAAGGAGAAGUGUUGGGAUCCCCAUCCCUGGAGGGAUUUAAGGGAGAAGUGGUGGAAUUCCCAUCCCUGGAGGGAUUUAAAGGACACCUGGAUGUGGCACUUGGGGACAUGGGUCAGUGGGACUUGGUUGUCCUGGCCCAGGUGUUCCCAGAGAAGCUGUGGCUGCCCCUGGAUCCCUGGAAGUGUCCAAGGCCAGGUUGGAGCAUCCUGGGAUUCUGGAAGGUUGUCCCUGCCCAUGGAACUGGAUGAUCCUUAAGGUCCUUUCCCACCCAAACCACAGAUUUGGGAAUGGGAUUUGCACACACUGCGUGGAAGCCAGGACCAGAUUUAUGGACUGAUUUGGGAUUUUUAUAGGGAUAAAAGCACUCCCUUGCUGCUGAUCCAGCUCCCACCACCCACCAGCACCUUCAGCAAUAAUUCCUUUUUCCUCCUGGGUGAGGAUUUUUCCUCCUUCUCCACAGAUGGAGAAACGAGACCACUCAACUCACUCCCUGCCUGAUUUUCCACCUCUCCUACCCCAAAAAAGCAGAAUCCCUUUGGUUUUCCCUCCUGGCAUUAGGCACAAACAAGGGCAGUCUGUGUUCCUAUGGAAUUUGCAAUUCCAGCUCCUUUUUUUUUUUUUCACCCCGAUCCAAAGACCCUCAAUGUCAUUGCAAGGCUGAGGUCCCACUAUGGAUUCCAGCAAGAUUUGGGAUCAGCUUUGGGAUCCCAAAAGGUUGAUGCAGCUUGAAGAUUCCCUGUCCUUGUCCAAAGAGAUGGCAGUUAGAGGAAUUUAGUGGAGAGCAGGUCCAUGAAGGGCCGUAAAACCCAACGUUCCGGGUGGAUCUUCUCCUUCGGGAUGUCCACGGUGUGGGAAUGUCCCAGCAGGAGCCAGGCAGGUCCCACGAGGUGGCAUCUUCCUUGGAUAUUUCCCUGCAGGGAGCUGCAGCCUCAGCUGUUUGGAUGCUCCGGGAGCUGCACCAGGAGGAAGUUCAGCCCUGGAAUUUGGGAGGGAAGGAAGAAAGAGCCGUAAAUUCCCAACGACGGGUCAGGAGCGGGACACGAUCAUGGAAUGGUUUGGGGUGGGAGGGACCUCAAAGCUCAUCUCAAUUCCAACCCCUGCCAUGGGUAGGGACACUUCCCACUAUCCCAGGUCGCUCCAACCUGGCCUGGGAGACACUUCCAAGGAUCCAGGGGCAGCCACAACUUCCCUGGAAAACCUGUGCCGGGGCCUCCCCGCCCUCCUGGGGAAAAGCCCAGACCCAUCACACCCGUGAUCUUUUGGAGACAAUCCCAUUUAAUAUUACAUUUAUUACAUUCCCAAGUGCCAAGCUUGGCUCCUCCCCUCAAUUUUGGGUGAAAAUCCCACCACUUUAAACCGAUGUUUCCCUAAAUCCGAACGCUGUUCCGCGACCACCGACGUACCGCGCCGGCCGAAAAUCCACCGGGCUCCUCCCGUUCCUCGUGCCUCACGUGGUGACCUGGGAUUCCUGGAACACCUGGAUGACCUCCGGCUUCCUGGCGAGCUGCUGGGCCAGCGUUCCCGAGCCAUCCGGAGUGUCCCGGAGCCCGGCACGGAGCAGGAUCCGCGUGGCCUCCGCCUGCUGCCCGGCCACGGCCGCGUGCAGGGCUGGGAAUGUGGGAUGGGGUCAUGGAAUCAGGGAAUGGCUCGGCCCGGAAGGGACCUCAAGGAUCAUCCAGUUCCAAUCCCCACACCCUCCGCUAUCCCAGGUUGAUCCCAAGGCCCGUCCAACCUGCCCUGGGAUGUUCGCAGGGAUGGGAAUCCCAGUGUUUCACCACCUUCCUUGGAAAAACUGUCUUCCUUUGACCUAAUGUGCAUCCUGAUCCCCAUGGAUAAUCCAUGCAAUGCCAAAUCGGGAUGAGGAGCUUCCCAAGGACACAGAGACACUGACACAGCCACAGAAAACAUCCCAGAGCUGGAUGAGCUCAGCAGAGCCGGGAUUUACUCCCUGCACCUGCCCUUAGACGUUCCCAGGGAUGGGAAUCCCUGUGUUUUACCACCCUCAUUGGAAAAGGUGUCUUCCUUUAAUCUAAUGUGCAUCCUGAUCCCCAUGGAUAAUCCAUGCAAUGCCAAAUCGGGAUGAGGAGCUUCCCGAGGACACAGGGACACUGACACAGCAAAGGUGCCAGGGAAUGGGACACCCAACAGGCACAAGGAGCCAUGGAAAACAUCCCAGGGCUGGAUGAGCUCAGCAGAGCCGGGAUUUACUCCCUGAACAUGCCCUUGGAUAUUCCCAGGGUUUCCUUGGAUAUUCCUCUCUGGGAAACUUGUGUUUCACCCCCCUCAUUGCAAACAAUUUCUUCCUUCUAUCUGAUCUAAUGUGCAUCCUGAUCCCCAUGGAUAAUCCAUGCAGUGCCAACCAGGAUGAGGAGCUUCCCAAGGACACAGGGACACAGACAGAGCCAUGGAAAACAUCCCAGGGCUGGAUGAGCUCAGCAGAGCCGGGAUUUACUCCCUGAACCUGCCCUUGGAUGUUCUCAGGGAUGGGAAUCCAUCUAAUCCAUCAGGAUGAGGAGCUUCCCAAGGACACAGAGACACUGACACAGCCACAGAAAACAUCCCAGGGCUGGAUGAGCUCAGCAGAGCCGGGAUUUACUCCCUGAACAUGCCCUUGGAUAUUCCUAGGGAUUCCCUGGAUAUUCCUCUCCAGGAAACUUGUGUCUCACCUCCCUCAUUGCAAAUGAUUUCUUCCUUCUAUCUGAUCUAAUGUGCAUCCUGAUCCCCAUGGAUAAUCCAGGCAGUGCCAAUCAGGAUGAGGAGCUUCCCAAGGACACAGGGACACAAACCCAGCAACUGGAGCCAUGGAAAAACUUCCAGGGCUGGAUGAGCUCAGCAGAGCUGGGAUUUACUCCCUGCACCUGCCCUUGGACGUUCCCAGGGAUGGGAAUCCCUGUGUUUCACCACCCUCAUUGGAAAAACUCUCUUCCUUUAAUGUGCAUCCUGAUCCCCAUGGAUAAUCCAGGCAGGUGCCAAAUCGGGAUGAGGAGCUUCCCAAGGACACAGGGACACAAACCCAGCAACUGGAGCCAUGGAAAACCUUCCAGGGCUGGAUGAGCUCAACAGAGCCAGGAUUUACUCCUUGAACUUGCCCUUGGACGUUCCAAGGGAUGGGAAUCCCUGUGUUUCACCACCUUCCCUGGAAAAACUGUCUUCCUUUAACCUAAUGUGCAUCCUGAUCCCCAUGGAUAAUCAUUGCAAUGCCAAAUUGGGAUGAGGAGCUUCCCAAGGACACAGGGACACAAACCCAGCACCUGGAGCCAUGGAAAACCUUCCAGGGCUGGAUGAGCUCAGCAGAGCCAGGAUUUACUCCCUGCACCUGCCCUUGGAUGUUCCCAGGGAUGGGAAUCCCUGUGUUUCACCACUCUCAUUGGAAAAGCUGUCUUCCUUUAAUGUGCAUCCUGAUCCCCAUGGAUAAUCCAGGCAGGUGCCAAAUCAGGAUGAGGAGCUUCCCAAGGACACAGGGACACAAACUUAGCACCUGGAGCCAUGGAAAACCUUCCAGGGCUGGAUGAGCUCAGCAGAGCCAGGAUUUACUCCCUGAACUUGCCCUUGGAUGUUCUCAGGGAUGGGAAUCCAUCUAAUCCAUCAGGAUGAGGAGCUUCCCAAGGACACAGAGACACUGACACAGCCACAGAAAACAUCCCAGAGCUGGAUGAGCUCAGCAGAGCCGGGAUUUACUCCCUGCACCUGCCCUUAGACGUUCCCAGGGAUGGGAAUCCCUGUGUUUUACCACCCUCAUUGGAAAAACUGUCUUCCUUUAAUCUACUGUGCAUCCUGAUCCCCAUGGAUAAUCCAUGCAAUGCCAAAUCGGGAUGAGGAGCUUCCCGAGGACACAGGGACACUGACACAGCCACAGAAAACAUCCCAGAGCUGGAUGAGCUCAGCAGAGCCGGGAUUUACUCCUUGAACUUGCCCUUCACGUUCCCAGGGAUGGGAAUCCCUGUGUUUCACCACCUUCCUUGGAAAAGCUGUCUUCCUUUGACCUAAUGUGCAUCCUGAUCCCCAUGGAUAAUCCAUGCAGGUGCCAAAUCGGGAUGAGGAGCUUCCCAAGGACACAGGGACACUGACACAGCAUCCAACAGGCAGGAGGAGCCAUGGAAAACCUCCCUGGGCUGGAUGAGCUCCGCAGAGCCGGGAUUCCCUCCCGGAGGGGACGGAUGGAGAGAUGUCCCCAGGUGUUUUUAACCAAACCUGAGGACUGGUUAAAAGCUGCCAAUUUUGGCUGGAACCCUUUCUGUGGGUUUUGUUCCCGAGACAGAGAUGCUGCUGCAGGAGCUGCCGGAGCCUCUCCCGCCGGGAAUGCCGACUCCGGCAUCGCUAUGGCAACUCUAUUUACGUCCCAGCCCUGUGUUAUUAUUUGCUCAUGAGCCCAUUUCUGGGCUGUUUGCUGGGAAAUCGAGGCUGGGGAGCUCGUGGAAGUCCCUGGAUUCACCCACCCAACCCGCUGCAGGAGGGCUCGUUCCAGCCAAAUUCCGGCGAGGCGGAGAAUCGAAGCUCCGGAAAAGUCUCGUGGAAAAAAUUAAGGAGGUGGAUAAAGAGAAAGCCCUGGUUUGCAUCUCUGUUCUUCCCCCAGGGAACAUCUCUGCUCUUCCCCAAGGGAAAAGCCCUCGAGCCAGAAGCACCAGAAAUUCCAGCAAGGAGAAAAUUAGUGAAUGAAAACCGGGGAAAAAACAAACCAAAACCCCUGUUUUCACGUCACGCUGCUCCCAGAGCCUUUGGUAUCCAUGGAUUUGGGAUCUCCCUGCGUGCUCCAGGGUGACCUGGAGGUUGGGAUGCACUUAUGGAAGCUCUGGGGGUCAGGCAGAGGGGGAAGGAGCAGCUCCUUCCUUACCGGAACGGCUCUUCCCGUCCUGAGCCUGGAGAUCGGCGCCGAGGGACAGCAGCGUCAGGAUGGUGUGUCCGUGUCCUUCCUGCAGGGAAACAGGGAAUUCGGGAUCAGCUCUGAUGAUCCCUGACCUGGGAGGGCACGGAUCUGCCCCGUCAUGGUCAAAUCUGAGGAUACCAGCAGCUGCUCCAAGAUCCUCUGGAGCUUGGAGCGGACGGAAAGUCGGGGUUAGGUGCCUGUGGAAGUGCAGGUUGGAUCCACGAUGCAGGAAUUCCCCUGGCACAGCAGGAACACUGCUGUUAUCCCACGGGAACGGGCCAGAGAGGUGCCACCAGGCACCUUCAUGGAAUGCCAGGAUGGUUUGGGUGGGAAGGGACCUCAAAUCCCACCCAGUUCCAACCCCAGGGACACCUUCCACUAUCCCAGGUUGCUCCAACCUGGCCUUGGACACUUCCAGGGAUCCAGGGGCAGCCACAGUUUCGCUGGGAAAUCCAUUCCAGCCCCUCCCCUUCCUUCCCCAUAUCCCAUCUCUCCCUGCCCUCUGGCACUGGGAAGCCAUUCCCUGUGUCCUGUCCCUCCACGCCUUGUCCAAAGUCCCUUUCCAGCUUUCAAUCCCAUAUCCCUGUAACUCCCAGUUGCUCUUCCCGGGGUUAUUUCAGCUCCAAGAGCUGUUGCUCACGCGGGCUGUGGAUUUCCCAAAGGAUUGCUCCAGGAUUUGGGAUGCCCUGUGAGAUGACACAGCCAGCCACGACCCCCGGUGUCCUCCCUCCUUCCUCUGCCCGGAAUUCCAGACUCCACAGGGGAAAACACAGCACAGCCCCCACCCCUCUCCUCUCUCCAUGAAUAAAUCCUGUCUCCCUUAAUAACA